GUCAAUGGCCAUACCACCCUGAAUACAGCUGAUCUCAUCUGAUCUGGUGAAACUAAGAAGGGUCAGGCUUGGUUAGUAUUUGGAUGGGAGACUAACACACAACAAAAAGUCCAAACC
rnacentral:rRNA from 1 species